AGCACCGCCUGCCGGUCUCCAGGCCCGGGGGAUCCCCAGCGUUCCUGGGUGGGCCAGGCUGAGUAGGUGCUGUUAGUCCGUGGAACCCGCAGGUUUGCCAGGCAAGGGCAGGUUAGGAGAAGAACUGGAUGGUGGAGGGGCGUAGUUUGAUUCUAGUUUGACAUGUAGAAAACUUCCGAAGUCCUGGAAGCGGGGUUAUUGAAACCCAACAACCGAGACGAGACACCUACUACCUAUAAAGCAGAACUUAAAAGAAAUCAGUUCUCCUAGCUGAAAGCAGUCUAGCAGCUCCUGCUCAGGUUCCGACCCCCCUUUCCUCCCCUGGUACCUAUAAGGUAGACAGUCAUAUUCCUGUAAAUAAAGUUUUUGUAACCCCCGAGGAACUAUGUUCUCUGUAAACAACUAUGCUCUGUAAAAAAGUUUAUGACACUGUCCCCAUAUUAUUCAUAAGAUGGUCUUCUUACAAGGCUAAAUUACUAAACUGUCUGCCAUUGUCCUGUUCUGGUAAACUCACUGCGUCACUAGAAAGAUCACCAACACCCUUUAACUAAAUGUAUAAAAACUGGAACUUUCCUUUGUUCAGUCACCCAAAAUUUUGGACAGGAGUUCGGCUGGGUCAGGUGAACACCUGAUAAAAUCCUCCUGAUUCCCAUUUGGUCUCUUGUCCUUUGGAAUUCUACAACAACUAAGUGGUUACCAUUUGUGAAGCUUGGCCCUCGGUCUUUGUAUUUAGUUUACAUUCACUAUCCCCCCCACCAUCCACCUGUGAUGUUUUAAGAACAUUCUCAGGUGUGAAUCGUCUUAAUCACAUGGAACUUUAAGUUCUCGGGCAUGUUUACUUAAAUCCAGAAUCUGUGUUUCUUGUGGAAACAGUCCAGACCUCGCUCAAGGGUGCCCCAGUAUCUAAGAGCCUAGUCAUUCAUACCACUUGUUGGUCUGGUCUCUGUAGAAUAUACAGGCACCCCAAACCUGUAUUCCCAGAUCUUUGCAACAAGAUGCAAUCUAGAACCGUAUAUGAUCAUUGCAAAGUAAAUGCCAAGUUGUGAGAAGAGGCAGUUAUGAGAAGAGUCUAAAUAUAUGACUUUGAACCAUUUCUUUAAUCAUUCUCAGUUGUAUCCUUGGGUGAAACUGGGACAGAAGCUGACCUACUUAUGGAGUGCAUGCUUCACACCUGAGUCUAAACUUCCCUCAUGAACUGGAAGGUUCUAAAUAUACUCUAGUGCAGAGCAGGGAGUUCUUCUGGAACACUGCACUUUGUCUCUGCUUUUCUCCAUGUGCCAGCCCAUGGAUGCACUUUUCAGUCUUUUCGUGUGUCAUGAUGUGAUUAAAAACUGAAUCCUGUUCGCUAUGAACUCAGUCACCCACCCCCAUUCACAUAUUAAAACCCUAACCUCCAGUGUAACUGUUCUAGGUAAUUAAAGUUAAAUGAGGUCAUAAGUGUGGGGUUCUAAUCCAGUAGGAUUGGUAGUCUUGUAAAAAGAGAAAGAGAGCUCUCUUGCCAUACCCAUGCACUGAGGAAAGGCCAUUGUGAGCAUGUGGGGAGAAGAUGGGCAUCUGCAAGCCAGGGAGAAGACCCUUACCAGCCCCUGACUACCCUGACUGCAGACUUCCAGCUUCCAGCGCUGUGGCUACUAGUAUUUAUUCUCUGAUGAUCCUGAGAAAGAAAAAAAGCAAGAGGAAAAGGUUGGAGCUAGACACCUUUGCAUUUGGAUUCCAGUUCUUUCAGCCUUCCAACAAACCCUUCAGCCUUCCAACAUGGACUCACACCAGACUCUGAAGUGAGCUCCAGGCCUUUGACUUUCCACUGGAUCCUCCAACUCUUCAGCACACAGGCAGCAAUUUUGCAUUCUCCUACUCUGAUUCCACUGUAAGACUACUUGGUAAAGCAUAUAUAUUCUGUCCUGCUAGUGAACCCUAAUGGAUAAAAUAUUCUGUUGAGAGGACUGUUCACUCAAGUUACACUUGAUUAAAAUGUCCUUGUU